CAGCAGCAGAGUGGCUCACCUGUCGUUGAUCAACUCAUCGUCCUCCGCCUAUAUAACUCUGGACUCUCCACCACGUCAGUGCCAGGUUAUUACUACCUGUAUGGUGAUAUGUAGCGCUGCUCUAAACCUCUGGUGUUUGUUCUGCUCUGCUUCCUUCUUGCUGGCUCUCCUGAGUACCUCCACACCAGCCCAGCAAACCCUGUCAGCCUGUCCACCUGCCAGCCUGGUUCACAAUUCCACGUUACACUGAAUCCACUGCAUGUAUGCUCUGGUAGCGACAGCGACCUUCGCAGCGAGCUGAGAGUCACGGUGAGAGAGUUUCGCCCUCAUUAGCAGCCUGCGUUCGCUGUCUGCCGGUCAUCUCACCGGGUAAAAAAAAAAAAAAAAAAAAAAACACAAGCACGGGAAGACACGUCCUCCGGGGCGGCUGGGGUGAGACCGACCCUGCACGCUUCCUCCGUCCCCAGAUUCGUCCUUGUCCAUUCCUCUGAUGCUGAGGAGGGACAAAAAAAUGUCAGCAGCACAAGGUGCCAGACGGGCCCUUGCCUUCUCUAUGGGUUCUGCUACUAUUUUCUGCUCAUUAGGAGGUAUAACACGAUUUCACCCUUCUGCCCAAAUCAAAUAAAGGCUGUGUGAUGAUAGCAUAGGUGACCUUAAGGCUCC